UCGAUCCUUUCUUGCAAGAAUCCUACAGAAUGUAGCUUCUCCUUUAGCUGCUGUUGGAGUUGCCUUUUCUCACUCCCAGCAUUUUGAACACAGAGUUCUAGGUUAUCAACUUCGAUGCUCUGUAGCUUGGGACCGAAAGUUUUUUCAAGGAAGGAAAACUCCUGGCUGUAAACCUUUAGCUACUCUUAGUUUCCAUUUGAUGAUGUAGGUUCUUGACGAUGAAGUUCCAUUUAAUAUAUUAACGAACAUA